rnacentral:rRNA from 1 species
UCCUACGGGGGGCAGCAGUAAGGAAUAUUGGACAAUGCCCGCAAGGGUGAUCCAGCCAUGCCGCGUGCAGGAAGACGGCCCUAUGGGUUGUAAACUGCUUUUACACCGGAGAAAACCUCCCCUCGUGAGGGGAGCUGAUAGUAUGGUGAGAAUAAGCAUCGGCUAACUUCGUGCCAGCAGCCGCGGUAAGACGAAGGAUGCAAGCGUUAUCCGGAUUCAUUGGGUUUAAAGGGAGCGUAGGUGGACUGAUAAGUCAGUGGUGAAAUCUUCGAGCUUAACUCGGAAAUUGCCAUUGAUACUGUUGGUCUUGAGUACAGUUGCUGUGGGCGGAAUAUGACAUGUAGUGGUGAAAUACAUAGAGAUGUCAUAGAACACCGAUUGCGAAGGCAGCUCACAAAGCUGUAACUGACACUGAGGCUCGAAAGUGCGGGGAUCAAACAGGAUUAGAUACCCCAGUAU